rnacentral:misc_RNA from 1 species
UCCAGUUUAUCACCGGCAGUCCCCUUAGAGUGCCCACCAUGACGUGAUGGCAACUAAGGGUAAAGGUUGCGCUCGUUGCGGGACUUAACCCAACACUUCACAGCACGAGCUGACGACAGCCAUGCAGCACCUGUGGAAAGGUCUCUUGCGAGAAAGCUGGCUUUCACCAGCGGUCCUAACCAUGUCAAGCCUGGGUAAGGUUCUUCGCGUAGCCUCGAAUUAAACCACAUGCUCCACCGCUUGUGCGGGUCCCCGUCAAUUUCUUUGAGUUUCAGUCUUGCGACCGUACUCCCCAGGUGGUGGAUUUAAUGCGUUAGCGUCGGCACCGGGGGGAUCGACACCCCCGACACCUAAUCCACAUCGUUUACGGCAAGGACUAC